rnacentral:rRNA from 1 species
AACGCUAGCUACAGGCUUAACACAUGCAAGUCGAGGGGCAGCACGGGAGUAGCAAUACAACUGGUGGCGACCGGCGCACGGGUGAGUAACGCGUAUGCAACCUACCUAUCAGAGGGGAAUAACCCGGCGAAAGUCGGACUAAUACCGCAUAAAACAGGGGCACCGCAUGGUGAUAUUUGUUAAAGAGAUUCGCUGAUAGAUGGGCAUGCAUUCCAUUAGGUAGUUGGUGAGGUAACGGCUCACCAAGCCGACGAUGGAUAGGGGAACUGAGAGGUUGGUCCCCCACACUGGUACUGAGACACGGACCAGACUCCUACGGGAGGCAGCAGUGAGGAAUAUUGGUCAAUGGGCGAGAGCCUGAACCAGCCAAGUCGCGUGAAGGAAGAAGGAUCUAUGGUUCGUAAACUUCUUUUGCAGGGGAAUAAAGUGCAGGACGUGUCCUGUUUUGUAUGUACCCUGAGAAUAAGGAUCGGCUAACUCCGUGCCAGCAGCCGCGGUAAUACGGAGGAUCCGAGCGUUAUCCGGAUUUAUUGGGUUUAAAGGGAGCGUAGGUGGAUUGUUAAGUCAGUUGUGAAAGUUUGCGGCUCAACCGUAAAAUUGCAGUUGAAACUGGCAGUCUUGAGUACAGUAGAGGUGGGCGGAAUUCGUGGUGUAGCGGUGAAAUGCUUAGAUAUCACGAAGAACUCCGAUUG